CAACCUGCCGCGCGCGCGCCCUCCCAGACUCUUGCGCAGCCGCCGGAGAGUGGGGGGGGGAGUGAGAAAGGGCCUUGCGCGCGGCCUAGUAGGCCGCGCCGAAGCCAGGACCUCGCGUGAGGCGCCGAGCGGGCGGGGUGAGGGGGAAAGCGGUCACGCGGUGUUACGCGAGGCCGGGGCUCGUGACGGGGCCUAGGGCCGACUAACAGCCUAGAGCGGCCCCAUGUGCAACGUCGGUAUCAACGAGACGAAGGCUGACAGCCGAUUAAGGUCUUAAGCUAGAGCGGCACGUUGGGGGGGCUGAGGAAAGCCGCGACACCUGGUGGGCAACGUGGGAAGGACGGCACUAUUGGAAGGGAAACUAUUAGAGCGAGCCAAACCAUAUUCUGUGAAGCUUUUCUUGGAAAAGGUGCUUGAAAAGCAACCAAAAUCAAAAUUCUCUGGGUUUGCCCUGGCCUUGAAGGAUGUUCCCUGUUUGCCUGAAUUUCCCCAUCUGUAAAAUGAGAAUAACAAUGGACCCUACAUCUCAAGGCACAAUGUUGCUUCCAUCUUUCUCUUGGGAUUUGAAGCAGCCCUGUCAGUUUAACUCAACUGUCAGUUCCCAGAGCAGGAGACACUCCCUGAGGGCUCUGCGAAGGAACACUGCAGGGGAUUUCUAUGAGGACCAGCAGGUCAAACUAUUAUUUCCUCACAAGGAUGAGCUGUUGAAGAAACUAGAAUUACUUUGUCAUGAAAUGAUGGAGAUGAAAUUCUCCUUUCAACAAGCUUCAACCACAGCUGGAACAUCACUUAGAGUCUGGGACCUUCUCAUCUUGGAACAUCCAUCAGCCCCUGCAGCUUUCUCACAAUGGAACAUCCCUCCACCAUGGCAGCCCGCUUUUCCCAUUGAAAAGGAGUGAGUAAGGAAGCUUGAUGGGUCCAAAGCUGAUGACUGAGCUGAGUAAAGAAGCUGUCCAGAUCCAAAGCAGAGCCUAGUGAGAGUGAAUGGGUGGAAGCAAGCUGGGGUGAGAUAUCCAGGGCUAACUGGAAACUUGCUUUGCUUUCUCUUCUCCUGGUUAGAUUAUGCUUGGUUCAUGUAUUUGACCAACAAUCUGAUAACUUGCCCCCCAUUUUUUCCUCUCUGAGAUUGUGAGGAAGAAAGGACGGGGGAUCCCAUAACUUAUCCAGCUAUAGUAUCACAACAGCCUACAACUGGAAUUCUGCUGCUUUAAACACAGAGAUGUCUUUGAUUUUUGUUAACUAAAGUUGCAAUUAAACCACAAUUUAUUUUAUUGUGAUCUGUUUCUUAAUCCUAGAGUACCUUUGGAUUUUAUUUUGCCUUGAAAUCGUGAAAAUAUAUUUCUUCUUUCACUAUAAGAAAAAUUAAUAAUUAGUAAUAGUGGGAAAUGGGGAAGGGGCUUGGUCAUAUAUCUGAUGGUGCUUAUGGGCAUUGCAUGCCAACAAAACUUUGAUUUCUAGUCUAUGUCCCAGCUCUAGAAAUAUCUGGCACCUAAAUACCCAAAAGUCUUCCAAGUAACUGAAUCCCAUUCAGUGGUAUACCACCUUUUAGAGUGGACCCAAACACAAUGACCCCCACACAAACCCCCACACACAAUGAUGAUAGUUGAUUCUGGCUCACCAUCUAUUAAGUCAUUUCUUAUAAAUAAACCCCUAUUUUCAUUUCUGACUUCCCCCUCAGUUCAUUUAGGAUUAAUCAUAACUGUAGAGUAAAGCAAAAUAGCAUUUACUUAAAAUAGUAUUAAAACCAGGCAGCCCUUACUCUGAUCAUCCAUUUCCCAAAAUCACUUCCUCCUAUUUUAAUUUUACAAAAAUCUAAUCCCAGAUACUCUUCCCAGUAUUCUCAAUCCUUCUACUUUUGUACUACUUCUUGGUUCAAAGUUAAAAUCAAGGUACCACCAAAGGUAUUAUAACUUUCCCAGUGGAGGAAUGCAAAAAUCUCAGUGCCCAGCAGUCUAGUAUUUGAUAAAUUCCUUAACUCCAGCUUCUGGAAUAAGAACUCA